rnacentral:rRNA from 1 species
GGGUGAGUAACACGUGGGCAACCUGCCUGUAAGACUGGGAUAACUUCGGGAAACCGAAGCUAAUACCGGAUAGGAUCUUCUCCUUCAUGGGAGAUGAUUGAAAGAUGGUUUCGGCUAUCACUUACAGAUGGGCCCGCGGUGCAUUAGCUAGUUGGUGAGGUAACGGCUCACCAAGGCAACGAUGCAUAGCCGACCUGAGAGGGUGAUCGGCCACACUGGGACUGAGACACGGCCCAGACUCCUACGGGAGGCAGCAGUAGGGAAUCUUCCGCAAUGGACGAAAGUCUGACGGAGCAACGCCGCGUGAGUGAUGAAGGCUUUCGGGUCGUAAAACUCUGUUGUUAGGGAAGAACAAGUACGAGAGUAACUGCUCGUACCUUGACGGUACCUAACCAGAAAGCCACGGCUAACUACGUGCCAGCAGCCGCGGUAAUACGUAGGUGGCAAGCGUUAUCCGGAAUUAUUGGGCGUAAAGCGCGCGCAGGCGGUUUCUUAAGUCUGAUGUGAAAGCCCACGGCUCAACCGUGGAGGGUCAUUGGAAACUGGGGAACUUGAGUGCAGAAGAGAAAAGCGGAAUUCCACGUGUAGCGGUGAAAUGCGUAGAGAUGUGGAGGAACACCAGUGGCGAAGGCGGCUUUUUGGUCUGUAACUGACGCUGAGGCGCGAAAGCGUGGGGAGCAAACAG